GGGGCCAUAGCUCAGCUGGGAGAGCGCCUGUUUUGCACGCAGGAGGUCAGGAGUUCGAUCCUCCUUGGCUCCA
rfam:Dichelobacter nodosus VCS1703A, complete genome.